AUUAAUAAUCGGAGUCGCGAACUCCAAAAUUUAAU
rnacentral:ncRNA from 1 species